GCAUGGCUGAAUACUGUGUUCUUUUUAUCAGUAUUUUACACAGCCAGACACCAUGCAAAAAUAAAGUUCUCCCUUGAAAUGGCUUUUGAUGGUAUGCAGCUUUUUUGUGGCAUAUCACUAUUAAAAGGGGCUACAAAU